AGUGAACGCUGGCGGCAUGCCAAACACAUGCAAGUCGAACGAGAUCUUCGGGUCUAGUGGCGCACGGGUGCGUAACGCGUGGGAAUCUGCCCUUUGGUUCGGAAUAACAGUUGGAAACGACUGCUAAUACCGGAUGAUGACGAAAGUCCAAAGAUUUAUCGCCAGAGGAUGAGCCCGCGUAGGAUUAGCUAGUUGGUGUGGUAAAGGCGCACCAAGGCGACGAUCCUUAGCUGGUCUGAGAGGAUGAUCAGCCACACUGGGACUGAGACACGGCCCAGACUCCUACGGGAGGCAGCAGUGGGGAAUAUUGGACAAUGGGCGAAAGCCUGAUCCAGCAAUGCCGCGUGAGUGAUGAAGGCCUUAGGGUUGUAAAGCUCUCUUACCCGGGAUGAUAAUGACAGUACCGGGAGAAUAAGCUCCGGCUAACUCCGUGCCAGCCGCCGCCGUAA
rnacentral:rRNA from 1 species